UACAGAGGUCUCAAGCGUUGUUCGGAAUUAUUGGGCGUAAAGGGUGCGUAGGCGGUCUGACAAGUCUGAUGUGAAAUCUAUGGGCUCAACCCAUAGUCUGCAUCGGAAACUGUCGGGCUGGAGUAUGGGAGAGGUGAGUGGAAUUCCUGGUGUAGCAGUGAAAUGCGUAGAUAUCAGGAGGAACACCGAUGGCGAAGGCAGGUCUCUGGGCUGACACUGACGCUCAUGCACGAAAGCGUGGGGAGCAAACAGG
rnacentral:rRNA from 1 species